rnacentral:rRNA from 1 species
GACGGGGGGUCCUAGCGUUGUUCGGAAUCAUUGGGCGUAAAGCGUGUGCAGGUGGCUUUAUAAGUUAGAUGUGAAAUCCUUGGGCUCAACCCAAGAAGUGCAUUUAAAACUAUAUGGCUUGAGUAUGGAAGAGGGUCGUGGAAUUCCUGGUGUAGUGGUGAAAUACGUAGAUAUCAGGAGGAACACCGGCGGCGAAGGCGGCGACCUGGUCCGAAUACUGACACUCAUACACGAAAGCGUGGG